ACUUAAAUUGAAGAGUUUGAUCAUGGCUCAGAUUGAACGCUGGCGGCAGGCCUAACACAUGCAAGUCGAGCGGUAGCACAGAGAGCUUGCUCUCGGGUGACGAGCGGCGGACGGGUGAGUAAUGUCUGGGAAACUGCCUGAUGGAGGGGGAUAACUACUGGAAACGGUAGCUAAUACCGCAUAAUGUCGCAAGACCAAAGUGGGGGACCUUCGGGCCUCAUGCCAUCAGAUGUGCCCAGAUGGGAUUAGCUAGUAGGUGGGGUAACGGCUCACCUAGGCGACGAUCCCUAGCUGGUCUGAGAGGAUGACCAGCCACACUGGAACUGAGACACGGUCCAGACUCCUACGGGAGGCAGCAGUGGGGAAUAUUGCACAAUGGGCGCAAGCCUGAUGCAGCCAUGCCGCGUGUGUGAAGAAGGCCUUCGGGUUGUAAAGCACUUUCAGCGGGGAGGAAGGCGAUAAGGUUAAUAACCUUGGCGAUUGACGUUACCCGCAGAAGAAGCACCGGCUAACUCCGUGCCAGCAGCCGCGGUAAUACGGAGGGUGCAAGCGUUAAUCGGAAUUACUGGGCGUAAAGCGCACGCAGGCGGUCUGUCAAGUCGGAUGUGAAAUCCCCGGGCUCAACCUGGGAACUGCAUUCGAAACUGGCAGGCUAGAGUCUUGUAGAGGGGGGUAGAAUUCCAGGUGUAGCGGUGAAAUGCGUAGAGAUCUGGAGGAAUACCGGUGGCGAAGGCGGCCCCCUGGACAAAGACUGACGCUCAGGUGCGAAAGCGUGGGGAGCAAACAGGAUUAGAUACCCUGGUAGUCCACGCCGUAAACGAUGUCGAUUUGGAGGUUGUGCCCUUGAGGCGUGGCUUCCGGAGCUAACGCGUUAAAUCGACCGCCUGGGGAGUACGGCCGCAAGGUUAAAACUCAAAUGAAUUGACGGGGGCCCGCACAAGCGGUGGAGCAUGUGGUUUAAUUCGAUGCAACGCGAAGAACCUUACCUGGUCUUGACAUCCACAGAACUUUCCAGAGAUGGAUUGGUGCCUUCGGGAACUGUGAGACAGGUGCUGCAUGGCUGUCGUCAGCUCGUGUUGUGAAAUGUUGGGUUAAGUCCCGCAACGAGCGCAACCCUUAUCCUUUGUUGCCAGCGGUCCGGCCGGGAACUCAAAGGAGACUGCCAGUGAUAAACUGGAGGAAGGUGGGGAUGACGUCAAGUCAUCAUGGCCCUUACGACCAGGGCUACACACGUGCUACAAUGGCAUAUACAAAGAGAAGCGACCUCGCGAGAGCAAGCGGACCUCAUAAAGUAUGUCGUAGUCCGGAUUGGAGUCUGCAACUCGACUCCAUGAAGUCGGAAUCGCUAGUAAUCGUAGAUCAGAAUGCUACGGUGAAUACGUUCCCGGGCCUUGUACACACCGCCCGUCACACCAUGGGAGUGGGUUGCAAAAGAAGUAGGUAGCUUAACCUUCGGGAGGGCGCUUACCACUUUGUGAUUCAUGACUGGGGUGAAGUCGUAACAAGGUAACCGUAGGGGAACCUGCGGUUGGAUCACCUCCUUACCUUAAAGAA
rnacentral:rRNA from 1 species